rnacentral:rRNA from 1 species
UGCGAAGGGGGCUAGCGUUGCUCGGAAUGACUGGGCGUAAAGGGCGCGUAGGCGGUUUGUACAGUCAGGUGUGAAAUUCCCGGGCUCAACCUGGGGGCUGCACUUGAUAUGUAUGGACUGGAGUGGGGAAGAGGGUCGUGGAAUUCCCAGUGUAGAGGUGAAAUUCGUAGAUAUUGGGAAGAACACCGGUGGCGAAGGCGGCGACCUGGUCCUUGACUGACGCUGAGGCGCGAAAGCGUGGGGAGCAAACAGG